GCAUGCUUGGUGGCACACACUAAACUUGGAAUGACAUAGUGGGGAGCAGCAUGGCACUGCACAAGGAUGACACAAAUUAGGGAGGUACUUUACCUUUUU
rnacentral:snRNA from 1 species